rnacentral:rRNA from 1 species
UGCAGAAUCCCGUGAACCAUCGAGUCUUUGAACGCAAGUUGCGCCCGAAGUCGCUAGGUCGAGGGCACGCCUGCCUGGGCGUCA